rnacentral:tRNA from 1 species
GCCGCCAUAGCUCAGUCGGUUAGAGCGUGGGUCUAAUAAGCCCAACGGUCGCAGGUUCGACCCUGCUGGCGGCA